GAAAUACGAUAAGUAAUGUGAAUUGCAGAAUUCAGUGAAUCAUCGAAUCUUUGAACGCACCUUGCGCUCCUUGGUAUUCCUUGGAGCAUGCCUGUUUGAGUAUCAUGAAAUCUUCAAAGUAAAUCUUUUGUUAACUCAAUUGGUUUCUACUUUGGUAUUGGAGGUCUUUGCAGCUUCACACCUGCUCCUCUUUGUUCAUUAGCUGGAUCUCAGUGUUAUGCUUGGUUCCACUCGGCGUGAUAAGUUAUCUAUCGCUGAGGACACUGUAAAAGGUGGCCAAGGUAAAUGCAGAUGAACCGCUUCUAAUAGUCCAUUGACUUGGACAAUACUUUUAUGAUCUGAUCUCAAAUCAGGUAGGGCUACCCGCUGAACUUAAGC
rnacentral:misc_RNA from 1 species